CAGCGGGCGCUCAGUAGGUGUUGGUUGAAUUGGGAUGCGUUGAAUUCAACGGGUAUCUAUUGAGCCCUCGCUCUGUG
ensembl:miRNA